rnacentral:sRNA from 1 species
AUAGAUGUUUGACAUUCACUAACAACCACAUUUGAUGUAAAAUCACGUUUCUUUUUUUUCAGCCAGUGUUCCUUAAUUUUUGUGUUGUGUGCUUCAUAAUGAACCGAUAUAUUUCAAAGACCAGGGACCUGGUGCAUCUAAACUCCCUGUGGGAGAGGCACAAAUUACCGGUGUUUCAGAAGGACCGGGUUAUAGACGGAUGGCGGCUGUGUUUAAGGCCGUCCACAGACCUGACAAGGGCGACAACUUUUGAAAAGAAAGAGGCCUUGGAUAUUGCCAACAACGAGGAUGUUCUUCCGACAUUUCUGGAGCACGAGUCAAAACCCCGGGGCCUGUUUACCGGGACUUAUGUGAAUCUCAAACAUCACGGGUCUUUCAAUAAAGAUCUGAAUCCGGAAAAUCCUUAUGCGCAUGUGCUUCUGCAAGUUCACGAGACGCAUCGGACCGGAAUGGACACGCUGUUGGCGAUUGUGUUCAUGCCGCGUGGUCGCUUACUUCCGGUAUCGGUGGUUCGAGAGGCUUUUCUCGGAAGUUUACAACACGAGGCAGAGGCCUGGAUUGCGCGGUGAUAGAGCAUUACGGAGUCAGACAAAAUCAAACUUUAAUGUGUAUUCUGGUUUGGAGCGCAUAAACAGUACGUGUUAAACCGAGGAACUUAGACAUAAGACCUCAACUUUGUGUACUGAAUGUGCACAAAGUAUUUAUUUACUAAACGUCUGCUUUUUGGGUGCUACACACAAAAAUGAGAUGGAACUAUUUACGUGGCUGUACAUUUUUUAAAAAAUAAAAUGUAUUCAAUAAUAC